AAUUUCCAAAUGUUGCAAGAACUCAAAGAAGUCCAGAAACAGUAAGACAUGGCACAGAUAGCUGGGGCCUGGAGGAUGAUGAAGACAUGGCAAUUAUAAGAUGGAAAGGGAUGAUAAUUGUGCCUCUAAGAAAAAUUUUUGAGAACUGAAUAUAGUCAAAGAGAAUGUGGACUUAAAUGAGCAGAAGCACAUCCCCCUGUAAUAUUUAAAAAAAUUAAUAUGAAUGGAGUUAAUAAUUCUAAUUCUAAUGGAGUGGCAGGCCCAAGAAAAUUGCCUGCAAUUUUAAAUAUUCAGUACUAGCAAAAUAACAGAAUUCACAUAGCAUCAAAGUUGUCCUGCAAGAGGUUGGUACCUAAUGAUGUCUAAAGAAAACGUGGAACUUCCUUAGUUAUUGCAAGGACAAUGUUAUAAUAAAAUA
rnacentral:lncRNA from 1 species